rnacentral:rRNA from 1 species
CAGUAGCCGCGGGAAUACGAAGGGGGCUAGCGUUGCUCGGAAUUACUGGGCGUAAAGGGAGCGUAGGCGGACAUUUAAGUCAGGGGUGAAAUCCCAGAGCUCAACUCUGGAACUGCCUUUGAUACUGGGUGUCUUGAGUGUGAUAGAGGUAUGUGGAACCCCGAGUGUAGAGGUGAAAUUCGUAGAUAUUCGGAAGAACACCAGUGGCGAAGGCGACUGACUGGACAAGUAUUGACGCUGAGGUGCGAAAGCGUGGGGAGCAAACAGGAUUAGAGACCCCCGUAGUCCCUGUCUCUUAUAU